rfam:Tursiops truncatus cont1.131320, whole genome shotgun sequence.
UAGGGCUCAUCUAAGACCUAAGAUGGCGGCGUUUCCAUGGCGUGUAAGCGCUGCAGGCGUACCAGAUAUGGAAAGGCGGCCAAAGGACGAAUCUACUAAGGAGUGUCCAAGAACUCGCCGAUAUUUGUGUUGUGG